AGUGAACGCUGGCGGUAGGCCUAACACAUGCAAGUCGAACGGCAGCACAGGAGAGCUUGCUCUCUGGGUGGCGAGUGGCGGACGGGUGAGGAAUACAUCGGAAUCUACCUUUUCGUGGAGGAUAACGUAGGGAAACUUACGCUAAUACCGCAUACGACCUACGGGUGAAAGUGGGGACCGCAAGGCCUCACGCGAUUAGAUGAGCCGAUGUCCGAUUAGCUAGUUGGCGGGGUAAUGGCCCACCAAGGCGACGAUCGGUAGCUGGUCUGAGAGGAUGAUCAGCCACACUGGAACUGAGACACGGUCCAGACUCCUACGGGAGGCAGCAGUGGGGAAUAUUGGACAAUGGGCGCAAGCCUGAUCCAGCCAUACCGCGUGGGUGAAGAAGGCCUUCGGGUUGUAAAGCCCUUUUGUUGGGAAAGAAAUCCUGUCGAUUAAUACUCGGUGGGGAUGACGGUACCCAAAGAAUAAGCACCGGCUAACUUCGUGCCAGCCGCCGCCGUAAGAC
rnacentral:rRNA from 1 species